CGAGAGAUAAGGCUUAAUAGGGCAUAGGGGAAGGCGUUUGCCCCUGGACUUACCUGGAAGUACCUUGAAGCUACUGUCUAUUUUUUUUCCUUCCCCAUAAGCCUAAGGUGUGGGGAAGGCUCCCUCUCUGGAGGAGCAGGUCGGAAGACCUCGGUGCAAAAGCAGGGACCCCCUGGCUGACCCUGUUCUCCCUCUGCAAAAUAAAGGAACCCCACCGGUGCAGAACCGUGCCACUGCACCCAUAAGACAGCCCGAGGCUCCUGGCAGACCCUGUAAGUUCCAGUUGGGAACAUUCCGGAACCCUUUUCCAGAGAGAGUUGCGCAGAUAGCUGAUCGCGUGUGUGUUUUCAAAGCCAAGCAAGGGAAACAGCAGCCAAUUAAAAUGAAAUAUUUUCAGUUCCCUCCUAUGUUGUCAGUGAUUUGCCCCCGGGGAUCCACAAUUUUCCCAAGCCUGUUAACGGGUGACAAUGAAUGAGUGUCUCCUGUAAUUUAAUUUUCCCGUCACACUAAAUAGACCUACAUUGUAAACUUCAGAUCUACUCUUACUGAUAGCGUUGGCUUGCUUUGUCAUUUGCACCAUAAAGACCC
rnacentral:lncRNA from 1 species